rnacentral:rRNA from 1 species
CCCGCUCAGAAACUCAAAUGAAUUGACGGGGCCCGCACAAGCGGUGGAGCAUGUGGUUUAAUUCGAUGAUACGCGAGGAACCUUACCUGGGCUCAAAUGUAUGUUGACGUAUUCUGAAAGGGAUACUUCUUCGGACAAUAUACAAGGUGCUGCAUGGUUGUCGUCAGCUCGUGCCGUGAGGUGUCGGGUUAAGUCCCAUAACGAGCGCAACCCCUAUCAUUAGUUGCCAUCAGGUCAAGCUGGGGACUCUAAUGAAACUGCCUACGCAAGUAGUGAGGAAGUGGGGAUGACGUCAAAUCAGCACGGCCCUUACGUCCAGGGCUACACACGUGCUACAAUGGCCGAUACAGAGGGCAGCUACCUGGUGACAGGAUGCAAAUCUCCAAAGUCGGUCUCAGUUCGGAUCGGAGUCUGCAACCCGACUCCGUGAAGUUGGAUUCGCUAGUAAUCGCGCAUCAGCCAUGGCGCGGUGAAUACGUUCCCGGGCCUU